rnacentral:lncRNA from 1 species
UAGGAAGCAGACCCCCAGACCAGUGCUGUGGGAUGCAUAGACCCUUUUCUGCUUUACUGGUGUUUGUUGCCUUUACUGGCUCUGCCAUGCUGCGUUGGGCUUAGUGUGAUACAGCAUGGCAGGAAUUACUAGUGACAUAGUGAUAAGAAGAAAAUCUGAGACCCUAACAAAUGCUAGGAAAAAGGAAAUAGUGCAUUUUAUUAUUAUUUAUCUACAAUACUGAAGACUGAUGGCCACCACAGUCCUGGCCCUCAGAGCUAUACCACUGAUCGCCGUUGUCAGAGGGAAGACUCUGAAGGAGUUCACAUUGCCUUAGAGGAAGGCUGAGAUCAGUGAACCUGCUGUCAGGCUGGGCAUGGGUCAGACCAUCCAGGCUCAUUAGCAGACCUCGCCAACAGCAGAUGACACUUCAGCUAACCUGAGAGUAGACUGGAGGCAGUGCAGGAGGCACCAGGACCAUGCCAUGUGCUGAUCCAUUUCCCUUUCAGAAGACUUUAACAAGAGCCCCUUGCCUCUGGACUUCUGUCAUCUACUGCUAGCUCUCCCUGAAGAAUUGACUGUCAUGAAUGUGACGAGUCCAUGCUCUGUCCAUGCAACCAUUCCCAUAGCUUCAAACAAGCAGUCUUAUCUAUCAGAAUCUGUAGAUGGGGAGGACAGGUCAGAUGUGACAGCCUCAGCUCCGCCACCGCUCAGCCACCAACCUGCUGGGUGUUAAAGCUGGGAAAUUUCCAAGGUCUUCUCAACAUGAAGAGAACAAGAAGUAUGUGAACAGAGGUGUGUUUGAAGUCCCAGGAUUAAGAUGCUAAGUAACUAAUAGCCUGAGAUGCAAUCCAUGUAUUAUCAUUUUUAUUUGCAUUCAACUUAUCCUUUUUAUAGCAAAACUUGAUGCCCUGUAGCCACAGUUUAAAUGAAUAUUAAUCUAAAUUUUGAAAAAGAA